rnacentral:lncRNA from 1 species
AUGAGAGCUUCCGGUGAUGGUGGUGAUUGCGGGUAGAGAGCGAGGAAGAGAUCGCGAUAGCUAAAAAGAUGCAGAAAAUAAAAAAAAAAAUAAAAAGAAUAAAAAUAAAUAUAAAGAAAAAAAAAUUCUACAGAAUUAAAUGAAGAAGUAGAGAGAAAAGAAGAAAAUAUAGAUUUUUAAAAGUGGAAUAGUGAUGGAUCCUUGACGGAGGGAGGCUAAAUGCAACAACUCGAAAUGUUGAGAGGCGAAAUAUAGAUUUUUAAAAGUUAGAAAGGAAAAAUAAAAAAAGAAGAAAUAAUCUGAAGAAGAACAAUAAAAACCUCAAAUUAAAAAACAAGUAGUACAUGGUAAUUUCACAAUUAUAAAACUUGUAAAUUUAACCAAAUAAAAUACAUGCAACUAUAACUGUUAUAAUUUCAACUACAUGCAUGCAUUUCAAACUGAAUUCAAAACCACCUACUCUAAUAUCGUGUGAAAUAAUUGUUGUUUUCCAAAAAUUUAAGUUAUAUUGAUAUUUAAUAUUUUAAAAAAAUCAAAAAUAAAUAAAAUAUUUUUGAAUUUUUAACGCGCAUAUUAGAUAGAUAUUAUCCCAUUUGAUUCNGCAUGCAUUUCAAACUGAAUUCAAAACCACCUACUCUAAUAUCGUGUGAAAUAAUUGUUGUUUUCCAAAAAUUUAAGUUAGUAAAUAAUAAUAUUUUUCGAAUCACAGAAAAAAUAUUGAUAUUUAAUAUUUUAAAAAAAUCAAAAAUAAAUAAAAUAUUUUUGAAUUUUUAA